rnacentral:rRNA from 1 species
GAUGAACGCUAGCGACAGGCCUAACACAUGCAAGUCGAACGGCAGCACGGGGCAACCUGGUGGCGAGUGGCGAACGGGUGAGUAAUACAUCGGAACGUGCCCAAUCGUGGGGGAUAACGUAGCGAAAGUUACGCUAAUACCGCAUACGAUCUACGGAUGAAAGCGGGGGAUCGCAAGACCUCGCGCGAGUGGAGCGGCCGAUGUCAGAUUAGGUAGUUGGUGGGGUAAAGGCUCACCAAGCCAACGAUCUGUAGCUGGUCUGAGAGGACGACCAGCCACACUGGAACUGAGACACGGUCCAGACUCCUACGGGAGGCAGCAGUGGGGAAUUUUGGACAAUGGGCGUAAGCCUGAUCCAGCCAUUCCGCGUGCAGGAUGAAGGCCUUCGGGUUGUAAACUGCUUUUGUACGGAACGAAACGGCGAGCUCUAAUACAGUUUGCUAAUGACGGUACCGUAAGAAUAAGCACCGGCUAACUACGUG